rnacentral:lncRNA from 10 species
GGUGGGGAGGUGGAGAACCUUUGUGUCUAGCUCAGGGAUUGUAAAGGAACCAAUCAGCACCCUGUCAAAACAGACCACUGGGCUCUACCAAUCAGCAGGAUGUGGGUAGGACCAGAUAAGAGAAUAAAAGCAGGCUGCCUGAGCUUGCGGUGGCAACCUGCUUGGGAACCCUGUUACACUGUGGAAGCUUUGUUCUUUUGCUCUUUGCAGUAAAUCUUGCUGCUGCUCACUCUUUGGGUCCACACUGCUUUUAUGAGCUGUGACACUCACCGUGAAGGUCUGUAGCUUCACUCUUGAAGCCAGCGAGACCACGAACCCACUGGGAGGAGAGAACAACUCCAGACGUGCCACCUUAAGAGCUGUAACACUCACUGCGAAGGUCUGCAGCUUCACUCCUGAGCCAGCAAGACCACGAACCCACCAGAAGAGCGAACACAUCCGAACAUCAGAAGGAACAAACUCCGGACACGCCACCUUUAAGAACUGUAACACUCACCACGAGGGUCUGCGGCUUCAUUCUUGAAGUCAGUGAGACCAAGAACCCACCAAUUCCAGACACAUCCUUAUUGCCUUCAUGUCUUGAUGCCCCGAGAGCAUAACAGCUCGGGGCAUGCCACGGGUGCGUGGGGAGAUAACACUCCCUUGAAGUACUGGAGUAUAAUCAAACAACUUGGCUCCUGCUGAAACCCGCUCCCACCUGUUUCGGUCCUGAAGGGGACAUUUGGAUACAGACACAGGCAUGAACAGAGGAGAGACCAUGUGAAGAGUCACAGGGAGAAUGCCAUGUGAAGACAGAGGAAUGGAAUUAUCCAUCCACAUGCAAUAAAAUGCCAAAGAUUGCCAGGAAGUCACCAGAAGCUUGGAACAGUCUGAGAUGCAGUUUCUCCAUUUUGGCCAGGCUGAUGUUGAACUCUAGCACUCAA